rnacentral:rRNA from 1 species
UACGGGGGGGGCAAGCGUUGUUCGGAAUUACUGGGCGUAAAGGGCGCGUAGGCGGCCUGCUAAGUCGGAUGUGAAAUCCCUCGGCUCAACCGAGGAACUGCAUCCGAUACUGGCGGGCUUGAAUCCGGGAGAGGGAUGUGGAAUUCCAGGUGUAGCGGUGAAAUGCGUAGAUAUCUGGAGGAACACCGGUGGCGAAGGCGGCUCUCUGGGACGGUACUGACGCUGAGACGCGAAAGCGUGGGGAGCAAACAGG